rnacentral:rRNA from 1 species
AACGAACGCUGGCGGCAGGCCUAACACAUGCAAGUCGAGCGAGCAUUUCGGCGCUAGCGGCGGACGGGUGAGUAACGCGUGGGAACGUGCCCUUUUCUGCGGAAUAGUCCUGGGAAACUGGGGGUAAUACCGCAUACGCCCUUUUGGGGAAAGAUUUAUCGGAGAAGGAUCGGCCCGCGUUGGAUUAGGUAGUUGGUGGGGUAAUGGCCCACCAAGCCGACGAUCCAUAGCUGGUUUGAGAGGAUGAUCAGCCACACUGGGACUGAGACACGGCCCAGACUCCUACGGGAGGCAGCAGUGGGGAAUCUUAGACAAUGGGGGCAACCCUGAUCUAGCCAUGCCGCGUGAGUGAUGAAGGCCUUAGGGUUGUAAAGCUCUUUCAGCUGGGAAGAUAAUGACGGUACCAGCAGAAGAAGCCCCGGCUAACUCCGUG